rnacentral:lncRNA from 1 species
GAGAAAGGUAAAAACACCUUCAAAUAAGGAAGAGGAACAGGCUAUGACCUAAUGCUUGCUUGGACCAAUAUAAGCAUGCCAGGGCAAAUAUUUAGGCUAAAUUGUGGAAGCUAAGAACAUAAAGUAAAUUGAUUUAUUACGGCUAGCAGAUAUUUAAGAAUGUUAACAGAGGUCUUUGAAUAAAUUUUGCUUCUAAGAGAUGUUACUAUUUAUUCCUAAUAAGAUGGAGAGGAAAGUCUUUGAAGAGGAACCUCUACUUUACUUUUUACAUCCUCAAAACAACCCUGUGUAAUUCAGAGAUGGUGGCAGCUUGGGAGGUUGCGACAGCUUCAUCCCUGGUGCUCUGGGAAUAUGGUGCAAGGCAAGGAACUACCACUUCUGCACCGUGUGGCCUU